GACAGAGAACCAGAGUGUUACUAAGCACAGAGAGAAACACGGACAGGACAACGAGAGGAUGGGGACAGGUGGUAACACACCAGGGACACAUCAGACCUAACGAGACGAGGGGACGCAUACCCACACACACUGCACCCAGGACAGGGACUAUCAAAAUAAAACAGGAAACACACGACAGGCACAGGGGCACGGCCAUGACACUGAACAGAGGGAACACGGAGCACAGGGACGGCGUGCCAAACUGCCACAGGACACAGGAUAUGAUGUGUGGUUCAGCCCUGGCAGAAAACUCAGGCCAGCAGCAGGAUUUCUGGAGGAACGUGUACGCAGUGUCAGGUGAAGGCUUCGUUCUGGCAGGAAGAAGAACUCAGCAGCACAGGAACGCCAAAAACACUGCCUCAUUUUGUCUGAACCAGAACAGAACAACAUCUGGCUCAGGUUUCCCGACACAUGCUGCAAACUGCCAUCCACAGAGCAACGUGGACCCGGUCAAACGGGACGGUCCCACUUCAGCAAAUUUUCACCCCGGGCAUGCUGAGGUCACAUCUCAUGGACUAAGGACCUGUUCAACACUCAGAAAUGUCACAGGAUUUCACAGGAUUUCACAGGAUUUCUGUGUGACUCUUCUGGGAUCCCGUUGUUCUUGACAAAGAUCAUGCGCAUGGCCAAGAAGGAAAGGAGUGGUGAUCUUCUCCAAAACACUGGUUUGCUCCCAAAAGCUUACAGACAGGAAGGUGACGUAGCCCUACAGCUGCUGCCAGCACUCCUCCCUGCUGCACCUUACAAAGUAGGAAGAAAGGUUUUCAGCAACCUGGAAGUUGAGAAGGCCUUUACUGAUAUCCAGCCUGUUGGGAUAAACAUGGGCUGUAUCCCAAUUCAGAGGCUGCAUCCUUGGAGGACCCGGCCUUCGGUCUCGUGGGCCGCGUCCUCCAAAGACCGAAAAGGCUGGAGCGCGAGGCUUGUGAACUGGGAUGCUCUAGCCUUCUAGUCACCAGCUGUACACGCCCGUACCACUUCUCCCGAUCAGUGAAAUGGAAAUGCGGAAAACAUACCCGCUACUCUCGUCUUUCUUCUACUUGAAGAGCGACAACAAAAUCAGUCGUCACAGACGAGUGAUUUUCCUGUGACUAAGACAUAACAACGUUCAGACCAGACCGCUGUCCUGCAGGAGUAACUUGCAGUUACUCCUCCUCCCAGUCCUGGACAGGUUUUUAAAUGAUGAGGCCUGAUUUUCAGCUGAGCAGGGAGUCUCUGAAAGUGCUGCUGAAUCUACUUAACCAGGAUCGGAGACAUGGUUGGGGUGCCACAAUUGAGGUCCUUGUGUUUCUGUUCUGGCUGGCAAGUGGAGCAUCCUACAGAGUCGUCUCCAGGGUGUUUGCAAUACCUCGUUCCACUGUUCACCGCAUCGUCCACAGGGUCACAGAGGAGGUGGUGGCCAUUUGCCAUCAGGUCAUCCACCUCCCUCGGACCCCUGAAGAUCUAGACAUUGUCUCAUGGGUUUGCAGAGCUGGCAGGACACAGAGCCUUUUUAAAAGCUGCUGGUGCAACUGAUUGCUGCCAUGUCCGCAUCAAGCCUCCCAGCGGCCCUGACGGUCUCUGCUACAGGAACAGGAAAUUGUUCCCCUCCAUAAUCCUGCAGGCUGUUUGCGACCAUCUGGGCUGCUUCAUCGAUACAUUGUGGGCUGGCCGGGGUCAGUUCAUGACUCCAGGAUGCUACGCAACAGCCCACUGUACCGACAGGCCCUUUACCCUCC